rnacentral:lncRNA from 1 species
AAACUAGGUGCAAAGAACCAACCAGACUGGCCUAGUGGAUAAAUCAGGAAUACAGAAACAAAAACAGCAAUUGGACCAGAAAAUGCGAUUGCAUCAUAAGGUCGCAAUUGAACAGAUCGAGCAAGCUCAAAUUGACGUAACAUGAAACCUAUUAGUCCGAACGCACCAUGCAGAGCAACAAAAGUCCACAGACCACCUAAUUGACACCAACGAGUAAAAUCCCCUUGUGCUUCAGGACCCCAUAGUAACAAUAAAGAAUGCGCUAAACUAUUAGCAGGAGUAGAAACUGCGGCCGUUAAGAAAUUACAGCCUUCCGUCUCGAAGACUGAAUGUAGCUGCCAACUGGCGAGCGAAAUGUUUUGGGGGCACUAUAAACCCCCAGGGAGUCGAUAACCCUUGGCGAGCGAAAUGUUUUGGGGGCAGAUGUAAGCCCCCAGGUAGUCGAUAACCCUUGGUGAGCGAAAUGUUUUGGGGGCACUAUAAACCCCCAAGGAGUCGAUAACCCUUGCUGGCGUUGAAUGGCCUCAUCGAUUCUCUGAACCGAUUAAGGGGCGGAAAGAAGUGGAUCAUGUUGAUGAUCUAGUGGGACAUCACGAGGAGGGUCUCGUGGUGGAUCCCGAGCACGGGGAGAAGUGACAAGCUAGAGCCUCCACGAGGUGGGAGGUUGUUAGCAGUGUCACACUCUCCUAAGCAGAUGUCUCAAGGCCAUCAUAUGCGCUACGUGAUUGUGUGCCUUCCCACAGACGGCGCCAAAAUGAUGAUGCUAAAGUUAGAUCACCUUAGAGUGUUGAAGUAGGAUGAGCUGGAAGAACAGAGUGGAUCACUGGCUCACGAGCUUGAUGACCUUGAGAUACCUGCAAUCAUAGAACACAUGAACUAAGCGGGGGUUGAUCCGGCGGAAACCCCUCCGACGCUCAAGUCAGACGUGCUGAUCAUAGAAAAUAGUCCAGAGAAUACAGUUGUAGUAUUGCUCAGUUAAUAGGACGUACUUUAAGGAAUGAGUUCAAACCCUUAUUUAUAGCUUAGUGGAGAUUGUCGGGCCAAACCUUACUUGAAGAUGAUUGGGCCUCGGUAGUAGUGGUCUUCAAUAUUGGGCUCGUGGCCCAGUAGGUAAAUAAUUUAUAGGCUUAUUGGGUUGACCCAAAUAGGCAUAUCAGUUAUUUAUCUUAAUUUCAAAAGCUCAAUAUUAAAUAAUCUCAAACCACUAUAAUUAAUCCUCCUCCGUUCAUGAUUAUCUCAUAAGAUAAAAUACAAUAUACUUUUUGGUGAUGGUAAAAAUGGGGAUUAACAGCAAAAUUAAUAAAGGCAACUCAUCUUCCACAGAUGAACAAUCAAUCACCACAAAAGAUAAUUUUACAAGACAAUAUUCCUAAUAAUCUGGUUUUGCUGUAACUAAUUUAAGGUUAAACAUAAUUAUUUGCACACUAAGCUGCUGCUUUUCUUCACAGUGGCUGGAGAAGAAAAAAACUGAUCACCAGAAAUUUCAAAUUCAUCCUCUGUAAUUGUCUCCAGACUGGGAGAAGUGGAUGUUUUUUUAGGACAAAUAACAGCAGCCGGGGCAACCUCGAUCCAACAACUCAAUAACCCGACCCGUUUUGCCAUCGAAUCAAAAUUGUUUUUUUUUUCUUUUGAUAGAGUAGAGUUUAGUGAUGAAUUGUUUCAAUGAGAAAAAUGGAAUUGGUAUUAGCGGAUUUAUAGGUGGUGGGGGUUCCUCGGAAUUAUAGUGGAAUGAACACGCAUAUUAAUAUAUCUCUCUCGUUUAACUUAAGAAAAACAUGUUUCGCACGUGCUUAAAUGGGAAGCACUCACGUAGUAGAUUAAUAUGUGGUGAUUUUUUAUUUAUUUAUUUAUAUAUAUGUAUAUAAUUAUUAAUUAUAAUGUGUGGUGUUGCCGAUUGGAUGGAUGAAAUUUGCAAUUGAAUUAAGACAAGAUAACAAAAAUAAUCAAGUCCGAAACGAAAAAUAAUCAGUUGGGCCCGAGCCCGAAAAUUCAAGAAACAGCAUUUAUGAAAAACUAUACAUAAUAGAUUAGACAAAAUGACCUAAAGAGAAUGGAAAAUAAUCUAGUGUGAGGGUACAUUAUUUUUACAAAACUUGUAUAUUUUAUUUUUCUACAUUAGACAAAGAAGAAGAAGAAACAAAAGUUAUCUAUCAUCAUCUUCCUCGUCGAUUUCUUCAAAAAUCGUCUCUAAUUCUGGAGUGUUCGAAGGCUUAUAUGGGUAUACAACCGGUUUUGGGGCAACCUCCAUCCACAAAUUCAACUUUUUACCGAUGCACCUCGCCAUUUUAUAAUUUAUCAGAAUAUAUUUGACAAAUUAUUAUUUCAGUUUCUAAAAGAAAACACGAAACGGGUUACAGCCCUCUUUCCUCCUGGGUCUAGAAAGAAAGAGAGAGAUUCAAAAAAUCUUGGAGAUACUAUUAUUUUCUUUUGUGAUACUAAAUCGAAUUUGAUGAGAUAAAAAAAAAAAAAAAAAAAGAGUAAUAUAUAUGAAGGACAUUCCGAAUUUCUUGCCAUAAAAAUUGAGGUGCACGAGCAAUAAUGUACGGACAGUGAAAUCACCACGAGAAUAACCUUGUUGUUUAUAGCCAACUUUAGUAUAAAUUAGUUUCUACCAACCAUUGAGACAGGUUUAUACUAUAUUACACGGCUGAAAUGGAUCUUUAACAUUCAUAUACACACACACACACCCACAUCGGUGUGAAGAUUAACCAUUGAAAGACAAGUUGAGAAUUCUUUUGAAUGAACAUACACAAUACAAAAUAUGAAGCACAUCAAAUAUGUAUAACAUUUGAACCACUUCUUGCUCUUCAACGACAAUGAAGAGUGUACAAAAAUCCUCCAAAAACAUCAACGACAGGCAGAUUUUGAAAUUUCAUAUCACAUUUUAGAGUUGCGAUUAAUACAUAUAUAGCAAUUAUGUAGCAACGACAUACCAAGAAUCACCAAAAGCAUAAACGAACAGCAAGAUUUACCGUUAAACUCUAAAACAUAAACGAGGAUAUAUACAUUGAAAUUUAGCAUUAAACAAGAUCAGGGUAAAUAGUAAACAAGAUUAUCACCAAUUCAAAGAGAACCAACUUACUGCAACUAGUAAACGACUAGGUUUCACCUACGCUAGCCAAUAUAAACUUCACUGGAUUAUAUCCUACAAUACAAAUGCAUACAGAUACAUUCAUAUUUUCACACAAAUUCACAUGAAUCUGUAUAUAUUUUCAAGUGAAAAAUGACACAAUAAUCGCGAGAACUAACAAAUUAAACAGUUCAAAAUAACUUUUUCACAAGCACAAUAUGUUGAAGAAGUUUCAACAUUGAAUACGAAAACGAAAUGCAAAAUUAUCCGCAGCAAAAUCGAAACAGUAAUCACCAAAAUUUAACUUAAAAGAGUAAAAUGCAGAAGCAAAAUUCAUCACUAUGAAAACCAGGCAUUCAAAUUAAAACAAAAAAAAAACACUGAAAAGAAAAAAGCACAAAAAUUAAAAAAAACUAAUAUAACAAAAUCCAAAACCUAGAAAAGAGAAGAUUCAGCAAAAUAACAAAAUCCAGAGAAAAUAAUCAAUCGAGAGGAACCUCAACAUCACCGUCGGAGAUCUCCUGCUGCAGAUCCUUGGGGUCCUUUCCGUCGACGGUACAUCCAACAGAAACGCACGUGCCGAGGAUCUCCUUCACAGUUCCGGCGAGCUCCUUCGCCAUGGACCGCGGCCGCAUGAUCUUCGCGAUCUCUACGACGUCGUCGAGCGCGAUGUUGCCGUUGUGCUUGAUGUUCUUCGUCUUCUUCCUGUCGCGCUCGGGCUCCUUCAGCGCCUUGAUGACAAGCGCCGCCGCGGAGGGGACGACGGUGACCUUGGCCUGACGGUUCUGCACCGUCAGCUUGACGGUGACGCGGAGGCCCUUCCAGUCCUUGGCGGUCUCCUUUGCGAUGUCCUCACCGAUUUUUUUGGGGGAGAGACCGAGCGGACCGAUUUUGGGGGCGAGUGACGACGCCGCUCCGACUUCUCCUCCGGUGACCCGGACGUAGACGUCGACGACCUGGCUCGGGUCGAACUUCGGCGGCAUUUUGAAGCUUUAGGUGGUGUUGCGCUUAGAAAUGGUGGAGGAGCGGCGGCGGUGUUGGGAGUGUUUUAGGUGUGCUGAUAGUUUUAUUAUGCUUAUAUUUAACUAGGGUUUUGCCGAGAUGAAAUUGAAUUGGGUUUUUGUUAGCUGCUGGCCCAAUUAAAUUCAAAUGCUUAAUGGGCUUCGUUGAAAUUGUUCGGCCCAAUUGAAAUUGUCUGGCCAAUAAAUUUAUUGGUAUAAUCCUAAUUGUCACGUGAGCCUCACGUGCGCAUUUGUACUUUAUUUUUAUAGCGUAUGAUAAUAAUAAUAAUAAUGAUUCAUAACAUAAAGUAAAUAUGUCAUCUCGUGCUCUCCACCUUAAAUUAAUAAACAAAUCAAAUAGAGCAAUGUAUGUAUGUAUGACGUUUUAUCGAGAUUUCAAAAUUGUGUUUUAGGGCACGAGAAUCAAUGUACUUUAAUCAAGUCAAACACGAAAUGCGUGGGCAGCUUGUUUUUUUGUACAUAUAAAUCAUUUCUUUUAUUCUAAUUAUCGAGUUUCAUUGUUCAUUCAACAAAAAAAACAUUUUCGAGCCAGUUCGUUAUGUUAUGUCCAACUUGAUGUCAAAAGAUUUAUUUUGGCGAAUGAAGUACCGAUUGUUUCUUUCGGUUCUAUUUUCAUUCUUAUAGUAGUUAUAACUUAUAAGUUGUUUGAUUAAUUAAAAUUAAUUUUAGAAACUUUUUUGUUAUUGAAUAAUGUAAUCUUUUUCUUAGGUGCGGCAUAGUUUCAUAUCUAUACCUAGAAAUUAUCGUGUGAUCGAUCUUGUAAGAGAAAAAAAAACAAUAAAAUAACAUAAAAAAGGUAUUUUUUAUAUAUUGUUAGCUUUGCAGCAACAAAAUCUCACAAAGUCCAAAAUAAUUAGGCAGCCAUAUUAUAAAAAGAGCUGCAGAGUUAGCUAGCCGGUCAAUAAUGACGAUACUAAUCUUGAAUUAAUUAAUUUAAAAGAGAUAACAGUGAUCUAACUUUAUCUGACACAGUAGGUAGUGAUCAUUACCUUUGACGAAAAUAUAAUCAACUUUUUAAAAAGACUUAAAACUGAUUAAUUAUUACUAAUUGUGAUCAAAGUCUGGUGCAAAGUAAAAAUCCGCUGAUUAUAGACCAUGGUUUGAUACACGUAUAUAAAUAUUUAAUAAUUUAAUAUAAUAGAUGACGAAAAAACUGCGUAUACGGACAAAAGUUGAAGCGGUGUAAUAAUUUGUGCAACUUAUACGGGAGCAAUUUAAUCCAUGUGUUUGAAGCUGCUAUUCCCACCUAACACGACUCUUUGAAAAUGUUAAAACACGUUUUCUACUGCACUAAAUUACUCCUUAAAUUAAUACAUUAAUACUACUGUGUAGUACGCAUGCUUCAAAAGGAUGGCAUGUCGUGCAGGAAAUCUCCUCGGUUAAAUUAAACCCGAUAUUAAUUAACCAAUAAGCAGGAUAAUUAGGUGAAACUAAGUUUGAAAAAAGCUUUUGGUGUUUGAAAAAAUACAGCAGCAGCUUUUUUGAUUUAAUAAUUAAUGGUGUUCGAGUAGUUUCGGAUAAGGACAAAACCGUGAAUCCUUGUACAAUUAGAGCAUGGGUGGUGAUAUACGCAGGCCAAAUUAAACAUUCAGGCACUUUUUUACCAUGGUUUUUUACCUUUUUACCAUAACUAUUUACCUUUUGUACUAUUCCUAUCAAAUCCUAUAAAAAAAGAAAACUCAACAUUCAAAGUGAAAAAUUUCAGAUAUUCAACAAUUUUUGCGAUGGAUCCAAACAACUUAGACCCGAAUGUAAGUUUUUCGUUUUUUUCCCGAAAAUUCAUCUACUCGUGUGAAUUUACGUGAGCACUUGCCCAGUGCUCGCGUAGAUUCCCCCCGGCUCAGAACCAUUCCCUAUUCUUGAGCUCGUGUGNNNNNNNNNNNNNNNNNNNNNNNNNNNNNNNNNNNNNNNNNNNNNNNNNNNNNNNNNNNNNNNNNNNNNNNNNNNNNNNNNNNNNNNNNNNNNNNNNNNNGCUCGUGUAAAUUCACACGAGUGUUGCUAAGCUCGAUUUUUUUCGUUUUUUUUUUCGGAUUCGUAAUCUACAUAACAAGAGGAUCGUAAAAACGUAAAAAUUACCUCCGAUCUGUUGACGAUUUGCACGGGCUUUGCGAAAGAAAAUCGAGAGGGUUGAGAGAGUUUUUUGAGUUUUUUACCUUUUGGUUUUUGAGAAAUGGUAAAAAAUGUGCCUGAAUGUUUAAUUUAUGCCUGCACAAAUCAUUUCAGUUAGAGCAUUUGAUUGGACGGUACACGUGGGACUGCUCAAUUCGUGCAACGUGUCAUCUGAUCUGUCAUAUUGCUCAUAUGAUUGGGUAAUAUUAGCCUACUCUACUCUACUCAUUCUAUAUAUUACAAUUGGCAGUUAAUUCGUUUAUCUCAAUAGAAAAACAUUAAUUCACAAUAGAAAACUUUUUUAUAAAGAGAAUUCAAUUUUAUAUAUUUAUUUCCAUGAAUUAUUUAUUUAUUUAUUUGAUAAUAAUAUUGUUGUGGAGCAGAAGAAAACACAAUGACCAAUGUAGUAAUGUUAGCUGGCAGCAUGGACAAAUUAGGAAUAGUAAUAACUAUCACAUUAUUUACGCCACGCAUAUAUAAAAUUAUCCUUUUACUUUGUGAUUGGUUGUCAAUCUGUAUGCAUUAAAUACUUCCACACAAUUACUAAUUUCUUUAUUGAAAUGUGAACUGUGUAAAAAGUAGGGAGUACAUCUUUCUUUUAUUUUUUUAUUUAUUAUUAAAGUUGACAAUAUAUGUACAUAUAAUAUUCCGACAAAGAAAAAAAAACCUCAAAUUGCAUGUAGACGUUUUUAGUAUAUAAAAUAUAUUUCACGUAAAAUAAAUGUGUGUGCGUUAAAAUUAAAAGUGAGAUGAUCAGACGAGCACGUCAUUAUUAAAUUAAAUAAAUAAAUAAAAAGUGCUUUUGAAUUUAUUUAUUUAUGAGAAAAAACGACAACGCUUAUCCUGUUAUAAUAUCUGAAUAAAUGCUGUAAUAAUAACGUAACUUCUAUUAUUGGCUUAAAAGCCCAGAGCUUAUCCAAUAUAUACUCACAUUAUAUCUAUAUCUAUAUCUAUAUCUAUAUAUAUGAUAUAUCUAUACCAAACCCAAAUAAAACCUUAUACUACCUAUAAAAAAGAAGCACUUAUUUUCUCCUCUCAACAUUUUCUCUCCUACUUACCCAGCAAACAACAACUGCAAAUGGCGGCAAGCUGGAAGAGCCACCACCACCGCUACCUGGGCGGCGCCGACAGGCUGAGCACGGCGGAGAUCGAGUUCGACGAGGAUGAGAUUUGGGGCAGCAACAAUAACAACAGCGUACCCGAAGCAAAAACUUUUCCAGUUUAUUCGAAUCCGCGUCCGCUGCGGAAGCCACUGAGAAAGGGCCACGUGGAUCAUUUAACUGUGGGCCCGAGAUCUGUACCGGUUAACGUUCCUGAUUGGUCGAAAAUACUGGGAGGCGAGUACAAGAAACGCGCCGGGGGUGAGUACGUGGAUGAUGAGGAAGGUGGAAAUGACAAAAUACCCCCUCACGAGUAUUUGGCUAGAACGAGGGUGGCGUCUUUCUCGGUGCAUGAAGGUGCUGGGAGGACGCUUAAAGGUAGGGAUUUGAGUAGGGUUAGAAAUGCCAUUUGGAAGCAAACUGGGUUUGAAGAUUAAUUAUUUUAUUAUUUAUUUAAUUAAUUACGUUUAACUUUUUUUUCUUUGUCUCAAAAUUUAGGCGUUGAUAUAUAUAUAUAUUCUCUCUCUGGGUUUUAAUUUUGUUAGGUUUGAUUCAGAGAGGGGAUCGAUCAUAUGUAAUUUUCUAAUUGUUUAGGACAAACAAAAUAUUUAAUUGUGCUUUAUGUAAUGCUACUACAGUUGUACUAAUUAUUUAUUUUUGUUGUUGUAAAAUUAUAUAUCAGGGAAAAGUUGCUGAUUCUUGAUAUUCUUAUCGUCAAUUAUAUUAUAUAAUAUAAAAAAUAAAUAAAUAAUCUUUUAUAUAGAGAUAGGUAUGUGUAUUAAUUUACACGUUAAAAUCUCAUAUUCUUAAUUAAUUAUAAUUUAUUAAAAAAAAUUCAUUAACCUCAGUCUUAAUUAUAUUAAUAAGUUCAGACACAAUUGCUUAGUUAGAUUGAAUUAAAGUCAAUUUUGAAAGGUGGAUUGCAGUGGAAAAUGGAGAGCGUUUGUAGGCUGAAGUGGUUGGCCAUUAGUACAUUGUUAGGUAAGAAAACAACAGGCUAAGAUAUAUAUAUAUAUAUAUAUAUAUAUAUAUAUAUAUAUAUAUAUAUAUAUAUAUGAGCUAAUUGCACAACCCCUGUGUAAUCUCUCGAAUAGUUAAAAAGACACUUGUGUUAAAAAUAUUAGCAAAAAACCCCUUAUGUUAUUUAUGAAAAAGCAUACUGCCCUUUAUUUUAAAAUUACCUGUUGACCCAUGUAAAAUCACUAAACUACCCCUAAUUAAAAACAAAUAAUAAAUUAAAAUAUCCAAAUCCCAAACGCGUAUCCACCGUCGGUCCAUUUUCUGGGUUGGAUUCUUGUUUUCGGUCGGGAAUUUUAUUUUUCUUUUGUUUUUUUCUCCAUCUUCUUCCUCCUCCCCUUCACAUCUUUUCAAAAAACUAACAAAAUUCCAACAAUCUUCUUUGUUCCCCUAAUAUAAGGACCGCAGACCGACGGAGGUUCAACCAGCGUCCGGGAAGGUGUGGCGGCGCAAACCGGCGGCAUAUUCCAUGGUGGAUCUACACUCACAAAUUAACUCUCUGCCCCUAUGUAUAUAGGUGAAUUUUCUUUGUACAAAAUUCCAAAAUCCGGAAUAAAAAAAAUUGGAUCUGGAAUUUGGUCCCUUCUUUCUCUGUCUCGAAGGUUACGACAUACAUCUAUGGCGGCCCGGUUGAAAAUCGAAUCUUGGCCCUCUUCUUUCUCUAUGUUGAAGAAAUCCAAAAAUCUCAAACCCUAAAGUUGGGCUUUUAGACUUGAAUUUGCUUUUGAUGAAGAUUCCGAUGAAAUUCUGGAGCACCGGUAGUCGUCGAUGUGGCGGCGACAUUAAAGUACGUGGUGGGGAGAAUGGAUGGCAGUAUUGGAAGGAUGAUUUGAUGGUGACGAUGAAAUGGUGCAGGGAAGCUGUAUAAAUAAAUUUUUUAAAUUGCAAUUUUAUCCAAAAAGUUGGAUUAUUUAUUUUUAAAUCCAAAUGAAUUUAUGUUUAGUUAUAAAAUAAUUUUAGAGGGCAUUUCGGACUUUUCAUUACACAAAUAUAAUAAAGAGUUGCAGAAUCAGUGCGUGUAACACACAAUCAGCCCGCAGGGGUCUUUCAUGCUUUGACUAAUUUUCAUAGGGGGGUUUUUGCUAAUAUUUUUAACAUAGGCACUUGUUUAGUCAUUGAGAANNNNNNNNNNNNNNNNNNNNNNNNNNNNNNNNNNNNNNNNNNNNNNNNNNNNNNNNNNNNNNNNNNNNNNNNNNNNNNNNNNNNNNNNNNNNNNNNNNNNUUACCCCCUUGUACUCUCAAUUGCAUCGAUUUGCCCCCUUGUACUUUGGUUCGAUAUCACUUUACCCCCUUAUACGUACUCUCAAUUCAUCGAUUUGCCCCCUUGUACAAUCUUGACUAAGCUAUAAAUAAAGGUUUGAACUCAUUCCUUAAGGUACGUCCCAUUAACUGAGCAAUACUACAAUAUGUAUUCUUUGGACCAUUUAUACUAUCCGCACGUCUGACUUGAGCGUCGGAGGGUUUUCCGCCGGAUCAACCCCCGGCCUAGUUCACGUGUUUUGUGAUCGCAAGUAUCUCAAGGUCAUCAAACUCGUGAGCCAGUGAUCCACUCUGCUCUCCCAGCUCAUCCUACAUAAACUAUCUAAGGUGAUCUAUCUCUAGGAUCAUCAUCAUAUAUAUAUAUAUAUAUAUAUAUAUAUAUAUAUAUAUAUAUAUAUAUAUAUAUAUAUAUAUAUAUAUAUAUAUAUAUAUACACAUAUUAUAUGUAUGUGAGAGUGUAAGAAAACGAUCGAGAGAUUGAGUUAGCGAAAGAGCGAGAUAAAAAAAGAUCAAGAGAUAGAUAGAGAAAUAUAUUUAGAUACACACACACACACACACACACACACACACACACACACACACACACACUCACAAAAAGAGCCAUGUGAAGCCGAAGGAAAUUUUGCAUCAUCUGAGGCAGAUGAAUCCGGAUACGGCUGCGUCCUUGAGAGAAGUGUACAAUGAAUCACAGAAAAUUAGACGAGAGGAAAUGAAAGGAAAAACAGUUAUACAACAUCUGUGGCACGAACUAAGUGAGAGUGGAUACAGCAAAUGGCAUCGAACAAAUCCAGCUGGUGAUACAGUGCAAGACGUUAUGUUUGCGCACCCUGAUUCAAUAAAGCUUUUGCAGUUAUUUCCAUACGUCAUCCUGAUGGAUUGCACGUACAAGACUAACAGGUAAUAAUUAUUUAAAUGUGUAUUACAUUUAUUAUAUAUAUAUAUAUAUAUAUAUAUAUAUAUAUAUAUAUAUAUAUAUAUAUAUAUAUAUAUGUAAGAGUUGACUAAAUUAUAAUUACCUUCAUGUAGAUAUGAAAUGCCUCUUUUGGAGAUCAUUGGGGUUACUCCCGUGGGAAGGAACUUCACUAUUGCCGUUGCUUUUAUGUCACGUGAAGAUGGGGACACUUAUGCAUGGACAUUGCGAUGUUUGCGAGACAUAUUACCAAUCGGGAUAGAACCAGAAGUGAUACUGACAGAUCGUGAGCUGGGCCUACUGAAAGCAUUGCCAAACGUGUUUCCACAUUCGCAUCACAUGUUAUGUUUAUAUCACAUAAACAGAAACGUUGAGGCAAACGCGUCAAAAUUCUUGGGUAACACCAAGUUGGGUAUACUGUUCCGGAGGACGGUGUGGGCAAAAUUAGUCGAAUCUGAGACUGAGGAAGAAUACGAAUGCAACUAUAGCGAGAUAGUUAGUUUGUACGGGCAAUAUCAGAAGCUGAUAACUUACAUCAAUGAAACGUGGUUGAUUUAUAAGGAGAGAUUUGUUAAGUGUUGGACCAACAACAUCGUUCAUUUCGGUAACACGACGACUAACAGGUAUAUAAAUUGAUUUUACUAUAAACUCGUUACGUACAAUCUUUUAUACACAUGUUACAUUUAUUCAUUAUUUGAGUGUUUUCUCGAAACAGAGUAGAGAGUGCACAUCGUGCAUCGAAGCGUUGGAUCCAAACAUCGACUGAAGCGUUGGAUCCAAACCUCGCAAUCAUCGUGUUAUCCUGCGGGCCGCGGUAGUCCUCCAGUGCUCUGGUCCUCGACUCGCACCGUGUAGUUUCACGGCGCUCCUGAAAAAUAUUGCAUGUAUUGUUACCUAAAAAAAAUGAAUAAUAUAAGAAUUAUGUAAAGCACGUGUUGACAGAAAAACUUACAUAUCCUUCCCAAAUGUACAUCGCUAUAUGCGACUUGAACCAUCGCAUAAACUCUAAAUUUUGCGGCCCUCCCUCGCACGGACCCUCCAAGUACGCAGGACCAGGCAGCUGCGGAAAGGGUAAGGCACGACCACCUCUACGAUCCUGAAAUGCAUCUGCUGGCCGAUCAUCUUCCUCCAUCUCCUCGUCAGUAUCCAUAUUAUCGUCGUCGGCAUGUGGCAAUGUACAGGGUCCGGCUCCAGCUGCAACAGCUUCUCGUCUCAGUCUCUCUUCUUCCCGCUGUAACGCUGCUUCUCGAGCUAACUGCUUUCUUCUACGCGCGGAAGCAAGGACAUCUCGGUCUCCAAUGCGAUCCGGAUCUUCCGGAUUGUCCCCCUUCCCACUCAAGGCUUUCAUUAAGCUCUUGCCUUUACCGGCAACUUGACUCAUAAGACUUUUCCCCCGACCUCCUGCCAUCUACAUUUUAAAUAAGCACUUUAUUAAUAUUUCAUAUAAUAAAAAAAAAAAGAAUUUAAAUAAUGAAAAAAAAAAAAAAAUUUUAAUUACUCGUGUGAAUUUACACGAGCGGAACCACUUCGCUCGUGUAAAUUCACACGAGUAAAAAUCAAACUCCCAUUUUUUUACGAAAUAAAUUAAAAAAAAAAAAAAAAAAAAAAAAAAAAAUUUAAUUACUCGUGUGAAUUUACACGAGCGGAACCACUUCGCUCGUGUAAAUUCACACGAGUAAAAAUCAAACUCCCAUUUUUUUACGAAAUAAAUUAAAAAAAAAAAAAAAAAAAAAAAAAAAAAAAUUUAAUUACUCGUGUGAAUUUACACGAGCGGAACCACUUCGCUCGUGUAAUUCACACGAGUGAAAUCAAACUGAGCGNNNNNNNNNNNNNNNNNNNNNNNNNNNNNNNNNNNNNNNNNNNNNNNNNNNNNNNNNNNNNNNNNNNNNNNNNNNNNNNNNNNNNNNNNNNNNNNNNNNNUAAUCUUGGUUUUGCACGAUUUGAUUACUUCGUAACAUGCUUAUCGUAUGGUACGGGGUAAUUUGUUUUCGCCAUUUUCUUUUCUGAUGAUUCCGUAACAUUUCGAACAACUAACAAUCUGUUACGUUUGUUCGUAUAUAUAAUUCCUGAAAUUAUAUCAUACUUUUCUACUUUUCUUAAUUAAAUGUUUCAAGAUUUGUUGAAUCAAACAUCACUGGACAUUUUAGUCUGGGUUUUAGACUAAAAGAGCAGUAAGGAAAAAUUGAAUUUGACACAGAUAUAUAAUUAUUUGCACGGAAAAAAAAAAAAAAAACCGAAUCAAAGCUCUUAAAACAACAACAUCCAGUUGUAUUAAAAAAUAAAAUAAAAAUGAAUUCAUUAAUUCUCUUGCAUACAUGGCGUCGAAAUGUCGCAGAAAUUAAACGUACCAUUCAAUAAAUAAACGUACCAUUAUUAAAAUCAACAGUUGAAAUUAAAGAUGGUCGCAAAUCGCUUUGGUGAAAUCAGUCGUAGUAGAUUUACCGCCAAGAUCCCAUGUUCUGUACUUGCCUUCCGCAAUCGUCUUAAAAACAGCUUCUUGAAUUCGAUCAGCUUUGUCUUCAAGAUCCAUGUGCCGUAACAACGUCACACCACUCAAAAGCAACGCCGUUGGAUUCGCCUUAUUCUACAUACAUGCAUCAUAUUUAUACAUAUAUAUUAAUAUUUAUAUAUUUUUAAAAUGAACAAAUUAGUAAUUAUUAAUUACCUCUCCAACAAUAUCAGGAGCAGAGCCAUGUACAGCCUCAGCAAGAACAAUACCUCCCUCACCAACAUUGCAGCUAAUUAAUAUCCCAACAAACCAAAUGAGAAAAUUUAAUUUCCUUAACUAAUUAAUAUAAUUAUUGCAAACAUAUAUGAAAUAAUAUAUACCUCGGAGUUAAUCCCAACCCUCCGAUCAAACCAGCACAGAGGUCACUGAUUAUGUCACCGUAAAGAUUCGGCAUCACCAGAACAUCGAAUAACGAUGGAUCCUGCACAAGCUGUAUGUACAUACACGAAUAUCGUUAACUUAAUUAACCAUUACAAUUGAACUAACUUGCACCAUGUAUAGAAUACGAAAUUAAAGAAAAAAAAAACGUUUAAUUAAUUAUACCAUGACACAGCAAUUGUCGAUUACAACUUCUUCGUAUUUUAUCUCUGGAUACUUCUCUGAUACCUCCUUACAACACUAGAAGUCGAACAAAAAAAUUCAACUAGUCGAAAAAUCAAGAACAAGCAGAGAAAUAUAAUCAAAUACACACACGCGCACACGCGCACACUAUACCUUAAGGAAAAGACCAUCAGUUUUCUGCAUGAUAUUGGCUUUGUGUAUAGCAGAUACUCUUUCUCGACCGUGUUCCUUUGCGUACCGAAAAGCAUGCUCCGCAACUCUAAGACUCGCAUGCCGUGUAAUAAUCUUUAGACUUUCCACAACACCUUUCACCACCUAGAUUUAAAUCAAAAGUGACUCAAUUAUAUAUAAAUACAUUCCGUAACCCUGUAAUUUCUCUAAUUGUUACAAAAAAACUCCCCACGGCCCACGUUACGUUAAAAUUAGGACACUACACCCUAAAAUCUCAGUGUUUACGGGUUUUUGUGCUAAAAAAACAUUAUAAGGGGUUUUUUUGCUAAUAUUAUGAACAUUGAGAGUUUUUCAGCAAUUCGAUAUAACACAAGGGUACUGAAUAUACAAUAAACGACUCAUUUAUAGUAUCAAGCUCACAUAUGUUAAAUAAAUGAAUUAACAUCUUGUGUGUGAACUUACUACAUGCUCGAGUCCACUGUACUCGCCUUCGGUGUUUUCGCGAAUAGUGACGAGAUCGACGUUGUCGUAUUUCGUCUUGUAGCCGGGGAGGCUAAAACAAGGCCUAACGUUGGCGUAAAGAUUGAGCUCUUUCCUUAAAGUGAGGUUGAGUGAGCGAAAGCCUUUCCCAAUCGGUGUGGCCAUCGGCCCUUUUAAACCGUACUUGUUUUUCUUCAUAGAUUCUAGAUUCUCCCAUGUAAGAAAGCUUCGAGUACGAAGAUCGAUCUCAUUCCCCACGUAUUGUUCUUCCCAUUUAAUCGGCACGUCAGCCGCCGUAAACACCUGAAUUAUAUAUAUAUAUUUCACCGGGUGGUGAUCGAAUCAUGCGCAUUUCGUAUUUUAUAUAGAAAAUUUGGAAACGUGAACAAAUAUAUAAGAAACCUGUUUGACGGAGUCGGAGAUCUCGGGGCCAAUGCCGUCGCCCGGGAAGAGAGUGACGGGGAUCGGGUGCGCCGGGGAUGAGAAGCUCCGGUGGGAGAAUAUUCCGUGGGCCCGGGACGGAAGUCGCCUUAGCAUUCGCGAUGCCAUUGUUCCAACAAAUUAAAUGUAGUAACAUUUUACCAGUUAGAUUGUGCUUAAAAUAGACAGUUAGUGGCUUACCUGUAUCGAUUUUUUUUUUUUUUUUUUGAAUUUUAAUUUAUUCUUCUUCUGGAGAAGGAAUCAAAUAAUUAUUUUUGAUUGCUGUACGAAAUAUAUUUGUAUUUAUUAUAAUAAAUAAAGAAUGUGGAAGCUGAAGGGGUCGUGUUCUGACUUAUGAGCAAAUGCGCGGGACAAGUCGUUGGCUUUGUUUAAUAAGCGAUUGUCCUUUCAAUGGAUAAAUAGUGACAAACAAAUAAAUAAAUAAAUAAAAAUUAAAGUUUUGGCCCACUAGAUUUAAUUUACUAAUUCAAAUUUAAUUUAACAUGUUCAAUAAACAGUAUCAUCUAUUGGGAUUAUAAAAUUUAAUUCCAUGGUCAAUGACAUAUUUAUAAAUUUUAUUUACGCAUUAAAUCGAACGGCCGAGAAUCGAUUUGGUUUGGGCUGAGAACGGUUAGAUUUUAGUCGGAAACUUCGAUAUCUGCACAAAUUCGAAGCCCACGGCGAACUCGAAUAGUAGUAAUGAAAUUUAGAUAGAAAAAUAUCAAGAAUGACUUCUUAAACGUCUUGUUAAAUCGUAUGCAUCACUGACCAGAUUUUGUCUUAUUUAUAGAAAUUUAAGAGUCGUUUCAUGGAGAGUUGGUUCUGUUGUUUGCAAAUAAAUUAAUUUAGUUAAUGAAGAGAUCGACGUGUUGUUUAGGAAGAAUCAAAUUCAUUCCAAACGCAACCGAACAAUUUAUAUUCAAAUGAAAAUUUCGACAAUUCCAACAUCUUAUUUCACAUAUCAUUUCACAUUCCAGAUAAAUAUAACUAACGAGCAAUCAACAACCAUCGAAAUACAAACAGAAGAAACAAAUUACUUUAUUACGAACCACAAGUACGUCGUUUUAAAAUCAUAUUUCGAUCACCGGCGCGAUUUUGGACACUUUGAGUAUACACCGUUUUUGCGCACAUAGUAAUGAGUGAUCGAUACGGCGUGGCACGGUUCGAAUUUGUGACAUCAUUGGUCCUUUCAACUUCACCUGCAUAGGCUUCACUACAAUACUACGGCUUCCAGGAUCCGCAAAGUCUACUGAUGUCCAAUCAUUUGCCGCCACGUCAUUUUCUUCAAGCAUCUGAUCCACAUCAUUUUCUUGAAGCAUCUGAUCUCAUUUCGCCAACCCAUAAUAAUUUUACGCUUGUUAAAAAUACAUUUUUAGGUAAAUUAUCUCGGUAAAUGAUCGAAAAACUAAUUAAUUAACGGGACACAUCAAAUCUAGUUAUAUUAAAUUGAACGAAAUGGAAAUUAAUUAGAAGCUCGGUCGCGCACCUCUGAAAUUAAAUCUAGUUGCUGUUUUAAGAUUCUCAUCGCAUCUUCAGCGAAGCACUGCGUGGUGGAUGGUUCGACGACUCCUUCUUCUUGCGAUGCCAUUCUUUUGAUCUCUCAAUUUACGAUCAGUUCGUCGAUUUUGCUAUAAAUUAAAGUUUUUGUUUUUGUUUUUGUAGAUAUAAGCUUUAAAUAACAGUUAAAAAGGUGAUAUUAUUCUGACUUUGCUAAAAAGAUAAAAAGAAAAUUUCAUUGCCUACUUAGUUUUUGACUUUUGAAGAAGCAAGUCAACUACAAUUUUAUGUAAUUAUUAAAAGUAAUAAACAAAAAAAGUUUUUGUCCACUUGAUUUAAUUUUUUUUGUUUUAAGAAUUGAUAGACAAAGUACUAAAUCAAAUUGAAUUUAAUAUGCUCAAUCAACAUUGGCAUAAUAGUACUACGAAUUUGGUGAGCGGAUAUUAUUAACCGACCGAUUGCAAUUUGCAACAGGCAACGAAAGUUGGAUUGGUAAUGAUUUUGAACUGAUCUCAGCAAAAUAGGUCGGUAACGGUUGACCGGAAUGGUUCGUUGUUCAUUGUAACGAAAAAAUCGAGCACUCCGAGAGGAAAUCGAGUUGCGGAGCGGCUUCCGUAAUAGGCCUUUCAUUAAGGAGGGAAUUGGUUGGGCUUAAAUGGUGUUUAACUAGGGCAAAUUACGGCCACACCUUUGAGUUAUAGUCAAAUUAUGAAAAUUCCCCUAUUGUUUGGGUAAUUACAGCUACCUCUCAACUAUAUAUUAUCUUAUGAAAAUAUCCACCUAUAGGUAAAUUUAGGGAUGUUAAAUCGGUAAAACCGAACUGAAAUUUUGGUACGCCAACAUUUCAUACUGUAAAAGCCAACUAAAUAUACGAUAUGGUUCGAUAAAUAACCGAAUUACAAUAUAUAUAUAUAUAUAUAUAUAUAUAUAUAUAUAUAUAUAUAUAUAUAUAUAUAUAUAUAUAUAUAUAUAUAUAUAUAUAUAUAUAUAUAUAUAUAUAUAUAUAUAUUGUAGAGUUCAUGCCUAACAACAAAACUAAGACUAUUAGUAAAGAAAUCUUGGUUUUGCACGAUUUUAUUACUUCGUAAACAUGCUUAUCGUAUGGUAUGGAGUAAUUUGUUUUCGCCGUUUUCUUUUCCGACUAUUCCGUAACAUUUCAAACAACUGACAAUGUGUUACGUUUGUUCGUUAUAAUUCCUGAAAUUAAAUCAUAUAUACUUUUCGUAAUUUAAUGUUUCAAGAUUUGAAUCAAACAUCACUGGACAUUUUAUUCUGGAUUUUGGAGACGUAUCAUCCAGAAGAAAAAAAAUGUUCAGUUACAUAUCACUAAAAGAGUAGUAAGGAAAAUUUGAAUUUGACACAAAUAUAUAAUUAUUUGCACGAAAUAAAACUAACAAAGCCAAAGCUCUUAAAACAAUUGUAAAAAAUAAAAUAAAAAUAAAAAUAAAUUCGUUAAUUCUCUUGCAUACACAAACAGACCUACAAUUGAGUGUCUCUUGUAUGAAUUACAACUGCAUUUCAUCAAUUUUGUGUUGUUCUUUUUUGCUCAAAGUAUCCACUCUAUAUAUACUAUAGUACAAACUAUUCAAGCUAGGAACACGAAUAUAUAAUGAGAUGCACCAAACUUACUAGUCAUUUUGCAUGGCAACGAAAUGUUGCAGAAAUCAAAAGUACCCAUUCGAUAAAUAAACGUACCAUUAUUGAGAUCAACAGUACUCAAAUUAAAGAUGAUCGCAAAUCGCUUUGGUGAAAUCAGUUGUAGUAGAUUUACCGCCAAGAUCCUCUGUUCUGUACUUGCCUUCCGCAAUCGUCUUAAAAACAGCUUCUUGAAUUCGAUCAGCUUUGUCAUGAAGAUCCAUGUGCCGCAACAUCAUCACUCCACUCAAAAGUAAUGCCGUCGGAUUCGCCUUAUUAUAUUCUACAUAUAUACACCUCGGAGUUAAUCCCAAUCCUCCGAUCAAACCAGCGCAAAGAUCGCUGAUUAUGUCACCGUAAAGAUUGGGCAUCACCAGAACAUCGAAUAACGAUGGAUCCUGCACAAGCUGUACGUACACACGAAUAUAUAUCACGAACACAAUAAUUAGCAUUAAUAAUUCAACUACUAUAUAUAACAAUUGUAUGAAAAUACAAUAAUCAUUUUAAUUAAUUAAUUAUAGUAUACCACGACACAACAGUUGCCAAUCACAACUUCUUCGUAUUUUAUCUCUGGAUACUUCUCUGAUACCUCCUUACAACACUAGAAGUCGAACAACAAAAUUCAACUAGUCGAAAAAUCAAGAACAUGCAGAGAAAUAUAAUCAAAUACACACACACACACACACACACACACACACACACACACAUAUAUAUAUAUACACUAUAUAUACCUUAAGGAAAAGACCAUCAGUUUUCUGCAUGAUAUUGGCUUUGUGUAUAGCAGAUACUCUUUCUCGACCGUGUUCCUUUGCGUACCGAAAAGCAUACUCCGCAACUCUAAGACUCGCAUGUCGUGUAAUAAUAAUCUUUAGACUUUCCACAACACCUUUUCACCACCUAGAUUAAAAAAAAAAGAAAAAGAAAAAAGGAGCAGCUUCAAUUAUAUAUAAUAUCAUGCAAUAUCUCGAGUUUAUUGCAUACAGGCGCGGAACCAGGAUCAAAAUGUAGAGGGGGCUAACUAAAAUUUUGGGGUUUGGGGCAGCGCCUCGAAAAAAAUUUAGGUGCACAAAACAUUGCAAAAAAUAAGUUUAUAUAACAAAUUUUUAAUUAAAAUAUCAUAUAUAUAUAUAUAUAUAUAUAUAUAUAUAUAUAUAUAUAUAUAUAUAUAUAUAUAUAUAUUUUAAUCAUCACAAAAAAAUCUAAAUUAAUUCAAAUUAUUCUAAUAAUAUACUGAACUUAAUAUUUCGGAGAUUCAUGGCACGAUCUCAUCUUUUUUUUUAAGGCGUUAGAUAAAAAAAAUUCAAAUAUAAGUAAUAUUCAUAAAUUUUAUUUAAAAUAAUACAAGUUUUAACCAUCUUAUUUUAUAUUUUAUAUUAAAUAUGAUAUAUUUAUCUAUAAUUUAUAUAAGAUUUUGUUGAAAAACAAAAAAAAUAAUGGAUCAAGAUAAAUAUUUACAAAAACUUUGGGGGGCCAAUAGUAGUAUUCAAAAAAUUUAGUACCAAAUAUCUAAUUUUUUUUUUCUUGGGGGCUCAACGGCCCCCCAUGCCCUAUCAAAGUUCCGCCAGUGAUUGCAUACAACACCCCGGUGUUUUAUCAAAUUGUUAAAAAGUACUUCCCGUAUUAUAUAUAACAAAUAGAGUAAAAUACAAGGGGUGCUAAAUGCAAUUAACACUCGAAUAAUAUAUCACACGUGUAAUAACUUACUACAUGCUCGAGUCCACUGUAUUCGCCUUCGGUAUUUUCGCGAAUAGUGAUGAGAUCGACAUUGUCGUAUUUCGUCUUGUAGCCGGGUAGGCUAAAACAAGGUCUAACGUUAGCGUAAAGAUUGAGCUCUUUCCUCAUAGUGAGAUAAUUGAGAGAUCGAAAGCCUUUUCCGAUUGGUGUAGUCAUUGGCCCUUUCAAAGCGAAUUUGUUUUUCUUCACGGAUUCUACAUUGUCCCGUGUCAGAAAGCUUUGUGUACGAGGAUCUAUCUCCUCGCCCAUGUAUUGUUCUUCCCAUGUAAUUGGCACAUCGGCGGUUGUAAACACCUGAUUUAUGAGCGAGACGUGUAAAUAUUAAAAGUAUAAGGGUAUAUUUGUAAAUUAUAAUUUUUGUAUGUCUGCAUUUAUUCAAAUAUAUUUUUUUUCAAUUUUCAUACAAACAUUAAUAUAAAUAUUUUUCAUCAGCUAGUAAUUUGCAAAUGAUUAUUAAAUUAUGUGAAUAAUUCAUGAAGCAAAAGAAUGAAUUACCAAUACCGUCAUGAGGUAACAUCAAUAUACGAAAACACCCAAUAAUAAAAGAAUCUUUUAAAUUUCAAGAAUAUUCCUUUCAAAUUACCAAUUUUCCCUAAUACUAUCAGGGGUUUAAUUGUAAUAUUUUUUUAUUCACUUGGGAGUUGGGAGUGAACUGUAAUUUAUUUAGAUAAUCUAAAAUAUAACCGAUUUGUAAAUAUACGGAAAAUAGGUAUUUAAAUGUUUUUCUAAUUUAAAAAAAAUACAAAAAAAUGAUCUAAAAUAGAGGUAAAUUAAGGAUUUGAAAUGUAUGCGUAUCUUUAUAAAAUCAAUUCUACUAAUAAAACGAAUAAAAUGGACUAAAAAUUGGAAAUGACAUAAUUGGGGGUACCUGUUUGACGGAGUCGGCGAUCUCAGGGCCAAUGCCGUCGCCGGGGAUGAGGGUGACGGGGAUCGGGUGCGCCGGCGAUGAGAAGCUCCGGUGGGAGAAUAUUCCGUUUGCCCGGGACUGAACCAGCCGUCUCACUCUCACCAUUAGGGAUGCCAUUAUUCGGGGUUCGGGUAAUGGACCGGCUUACAAAUGAGACGGUGUUUUCGUUAAAUCUUCAAAUGUAUAACAGUUUAUGGUGUGCCUGUUUCUAUUUUUUUUUAUUGAAGGAAUUAUUAAUAAUUGUUGGAAGUGAAUAUUCUGAUAUAACAAAAAUUGUGGAAGAAGAAGGGGUUGUGUUGACUUUUGAGCAAAUGCGCGGGACAAAUUCAAGGUACUCUGUUAUGAUCAUGUUUUCUAGUUCUGAAAUGUUAAAUAUCGUUUUAAUUUUACUAAUGUCGUUUUGAUUUUGAAUUUGAUUUCGACAUAUUUCUAUUUUGAUUUUGGCAAAAUUCGAAACACGAAAAAUGUAGUCCUUUGGAUUAGCUUUUUAAUUCAACUUAAAUUCGCUAGAUUGUAUGAUGUGUGACAAAAUUAUGCAUGAAGGAGUCACAUUUUGAAUUUUAUAUACAUCAAUACAUCAAAGUUGUGGGCAGUAUUCAUUGAUUCAUGUAUAUCUUUCUCGUUCGACAUCCAAUUUUGGUGAUUCAACUUGGAUUAAAAAAAUAACUCAGAAUACUACAAAUUCUAUUUUUCGGAUUUUGCAAAAUUUGGAAUUAAAAAUGAUCAAAAUCACGUUGAAGUCGAAACAAUAUUAUUAAAGCUCGAACAAACAUUUAUCACAUCCCUUUCUAGUUCGGAUGAUUUGCCCUUUCAGAUUUAGUAACUAUCAUUUUUUCUGCACAUAUUAUAAUAUAAUAAAUAAAAUAACUUGAUAUAUUUUUUCACUUCAAUUUUAUGUUUUAAAUUUUACUAAAUAUGAAAAACAAUCCAAUUUAACGAAACGGUCAUUUUUUCUGCACAUAGUAAUGAAAUUUAAAUGAAAUUUUCACAUUGGAAAAAACAUGAUUCCGUUAUCAACUUGUCCGCUACUGAUUCGGAUAAAUAAUUUCAGAAUUGAUUAUCAGAAAAAUUUCAAAUCACAUGAAAUCGUGUCAGAAUUAGUUAAAAAAUCCAAUCCAGUAAACUGUAAAUAUAAAUCUUCCUCGGAAACUGAUGCUGCAGCCUGCCAAGUGCCACCCAACACUCAAUUAUUUACGAAUUUAUCCACUCUAAAAAGCAUAUACUCCAAAUAAAUUCCACCAAAUUUUUACAUCUUAUUUCACCUUACAAACAAAUCACAUUUAACCACCAACCUCAAAUCAACAAAAGAACAUAACAACAAUAACAAACAAAAAAUAAUAAGUCUUUAACCACAAAGACAUAUUAAAAUUAAAAUUAAAAUAAAAAAUAAAAAUAAAAGUUAAAUAGUCUCCAAAUGAAAAUUCACUCCUAACAAAUAGGAAGAGGCUCACCAUUCCAACCUUGAAGACACUCCAAUAAAGGAUCAACAAUCAAACCAUUGCUCAAAGCCACAAACACCUUCUCACACUCCUCCCCGGGCGAAAUUACCUUUUCGCCCGUCAAUAAUCCCGUCCCCAACUCCUCCCUUAUGAACUUGUACAACGGGUACGACCUACACUCCGUUAUCCUAUUCCCAACCGCCGCGUUCCCGCUCUCCAACGCAACCCUAGCACUCUCCACUUCCUUCGGCAGGAUGGCCUUCAGCUCCUCCUCAAAAUCUCCAAUCUUCUGGAAAAUCGAAGUGUUUGCAUUCUUCUCGUUUUCGCCGUUUUUCAAUGCGUGCUCGACGAGAACUUCUCGAAGCUUCUGCAUCAAUGGGUAGGUCCCGCUGCAUGGGUCGUCUAUAUACGCGAAAACGUAUUCGCGGUCGACUAUGCGCAUCAAGUCCUUCUCGCAGAAUCUCGACGGAUGGAGUUCUCCGGUGGACCCCGUUGUUAGGGUUUUCUUAGCAACUUGGCUUACGGUGUUCUUUACGGUGAGCCUUAGAUUCUCCUCCAGGUGGCGGAGAUCGAUUGCUUGGCAGAGUGCGACUAGGUACGUCGACGACAUCAGCUUCAAUAUAUCCAACGCUUCGACUGUUUUCCGGGAAGAGAUUAAGCCCAAAGAAUUCACGUCUUGAUUGUGUUGUUCGGCGCUCUGGACGUGGUUCGUGACCGGGUUCGCGAGGAAUUGGAGCUCGGAGCAGUACGAAGCCAUGGCGAUUUCCGAGCCUUUGAAGCCGUAGUCGAGGCUAGGGUUCCGGCCGCCGGAGAGAUUCGACGGGAGGCCGUUGUUGUAGAAGUCGUUGACGAGUUCGGAGAAUUGCGCGAACAUUAGUUUCCCGAUGGAGGCGAUGGCGAGCCUCGAGUUGUCCAUGGAGACUCCGAUCGGGGUUCCCUGGAAGUUUCCGCCGUGGAUGGCUUUGUUUCUAGAAACGUCGAUCAGCGGGUUGUCGUUGACGGAGUUGAUUUCUCUCUCUAUCAUUUUGGUGGCCGUACGGAUGACCUCGAUUUGCGGGCCCAGCCACUGCGGAGAUGUUCGGAGCGCGUAACGGUCUUGUUUCGGUUUCUGUAACGGGUCGGUUUCGUGGAGUUUCGCGGCGGCUUUGACGUACGCGCUGCCGUCGAGGAUGUGCUCCAUUAUGGCGGCGGCUUCGAUCUGGCCGGGGUGGUGCUUCAGUUUGUGCGUUAGGUGGUCGGUGAACUCGGGUUUGCCGUUCAUUACUUCGGCGAAGAUGGCGGACAUGACUUCGGAGAGGAGAGAGAGGACGUUGGCCUCGUAGAGCGCGAUCGAGGCGAGGCCGGAACCGACGGCGGUGCCGUUGACUAACGCGAGGCCUUCUUUGGGCUGGAGCUCGAAGAAGCCGCCAGCGACGCCGGCGAGGGUGAAGGCUUCGUCGGCGGUGAGGGGUUCGCCUUUGGGGCCGACGGCUUUGGAGUUGGGGCGGCCGGUGAGAAAUCCGGCGAUGUAGGAGAGGGGGACGAGGUCGCCGGAGGCGGUGAUCGUGCCGCGGAGGGGGAGGCAUGGGGUGAUGUUGUGGUUGAGGAAUUUGGUUAUGGCUUCGAGGAUCUCGAACCUUAUGCCGGAGUAGCCCUGGAGGAGGGUGUUGAUUCUGACGAGCAUAGCCGCUCUUGUGGCGGAGUGCGGUAGCAUGUGGGAAGAUUCCGUUCCAUUUCCGAAUAUUCCGGCGUUCAAGAAUCUGGUUAAAAAUAUAUUCAGUUAGCUACGAUGAAAAGUAAUUAAUGUCAAGUGUAUUUUAGUAAAAAAUUUUUUUUAAUUCAUGCAUAUUUUUUGACUUUCUUAAUCUCUAAAAACAAAAUGCCAACUACAUAAAAUAGGAAGAUAAAUAAAUACACGCAAAAUUAGGUAAAAUAAAAUAAAAUGGAAUACGAUAUCGAUAUAGGUGCAUUCGGUAUACCGACCAGUUCACUAAACACGUGUGAGAUCUGGUUUUGGAAAGUGAUCACAAUUAUUUUAUGAGAGUAGCUUAUUCAAAUAAUAAGUGGCCUCCGACUUAUUAAAAUUCACCAAACCGUCAACUCCUGGACAGCUAGAUACUGAUAUUUAAGUGGUUUAUUUUUUAUUUAUUUUUUCAAAAAUAAUUUUUUGAAAAUUACUCGACACAUUAACUACAUCCACAUCUAGAAGCACUAAAUAUUUUUCUUGCACCAAAGAAAAAUAAAAUCUUUCAAUUAAUUAAUUCAUGGAUCUGAACGUAAUAAACUCAUAUACUAAUAAUAACUAUCAAAAAUCAAUUUACUUAUUUCAAGGCUACAAAAAGGAUAAUUUAGUUAACAAUUAAAACCCCCUAAUCUUGCUUCUUUAAUUAUGACAUAAUCAACAAUUUAUUUUUAUAGCGGUGAUAUAUACAUGUACGUAAAAAUGUAUUGAAAAAAUUAUUACACAAUUAUGCCACGUGGCUUGCAUUAUAUUUGGACAAAAAUAGAGACUGUACUUUGUUUCAUGAUAAAUAGUUAGUGCCAAAAAUCAUUCAGUGCAGAUUUUUUGUGCAAAUAUAGCAAAAAAAUAAUCAAAUAAGAAAUUAAUAAUAAUAACGCCAAAAAAAAAAUGAUAUUUUUAAUUAAUUAAUUAAUUUACUGACCUAAUAAGCUCCUUCUGUAGAGCGCCACCCUGCUUGGUCCGGCGGUGUGACGUGGCACCGAAUCCGGUGGUGACACCGUAGCUGUCAGUUCCUUUGUUCAUGCUAUCCAUAACCCAGUCGCUGCUGGCCUUGACGCCGGCCCUCGCCGCCUCCGCCAGCUCCACCGCCACAGCAUUAUCGGUGGCGGCGAUCGCCGCCACCUGUGCUAUUGUUAGCGUCUUUCCGCCUAGAUUCACCACCGGCUUCCUGAAUUCCUCCACCAUCCUCUUCACCUCAUCGAGGUGGCUCCCCUUCAGCCCCUCCGCCGCCAAACCCCAGUUCAGCGGAUCCUUCUGCUUCACGCAGUACCCGUUCGAGUUGUGGUGCCCGUUCUCAGUCGCCGCCGCCGCCGCCAUUGAUUAUAUUAAAAUUACUGAUCAACUGUUCCCAAAUCACCACCUUCAAUUCGUCUCGCAAAAAACACACACACACACACAAGAAACAAAACACCACCAAAUUUCCCGUUUCAGUGUGUGUGCUGUGUUUUUAUUUAUUUAUUUAAUUAACUAUUAAUAUAAAUAUAAUUUAGGUGGUGAGGGAGGUGUUGAAAUGGGGUUUGUAAAAGGUAUGUGGCUUUAAAUAGAGAAAUUGCGGAGGACUAAAAAAAUAUUUUUACGUUUUAAGAUUUUGGUAGGUGGCUUUCGCAUGAGUUUGUUGAGGAUUGAUCCUGGCCGUUGAUUUUGUGUUGACUUCAACGGUCGAGAUUCACUAACGCGGGAGGUGGACUUUAUUAUUAUUAUUGUGCUCCAUAAUCUUGUCUGAAAUUUUAUGGGGGUUGGUGGGAAUGAAUAGUAUAGGGGUGGUAAAAAUUGGAAAGUAUUAAUUAAUAUAUAUUGCUGAAAUAAACGAUUUCAUUUUCCUGAUAAAACAAUUUAUUUUUAUUAUUAUUAUUAUUUAAUUUGGCUAUAAUUAAUAUUAUUGGGAGAGGUGGUUGAUCUGAAGUUAAGGCACUGAGGUAGUUACCAUGAACGAUUUAUAGAAUAUCCACGUAGUAGAGACACACACAUUCAAUGUGAACUAAAAUUGCAUGCCCAUCUCAAUUUAUUCAAAUUUCAGACUACUACUAAUUAAUAAAUAAAUAAAUAAAUAAAAUUUCAAUAAUAAUAAUAAUAAAUAUAAUAAGCGAGGUAGUUGUACAACUAUGUGUUUAUAACCAACUUUAUUAAUGAAAAAUAGGUAAUAUAAUAGUUAGAAAUUAAAAAAGAUGGUUGGUUUGGUUAACUUAAUUUUGUUGCUAAAAUCUAACUACUUUUGCACAUUUAUAAAACCAAAGGAAAGUUGGACAAAAGAGACAGACAAAGGUUGUGCACGGUGGAUAAACAAAGAUAAUUAUUAAUUAACUUUGAUUUUUCCUACCAUUAAGAAAACCCGCUAUCGAAAACAAGCUGUUUUGUUAAGUUUAUAAGUUCUUUCAUAGUGUUUUGUAAAGAUAAUGGAAGGCUUUUAAGAUCUUUUUUUUUUUAAGUUAUCCAAACACUUUAAAAAUUAAUUUUUAAAAAUAAGAUGUAAUAGUUUACUUGCUCUUGAAACAACUUAUCUGAACUAAUUCAGGACUUAUCAGUUGUUCAAAAUAAGUUUAGAUGACAAAUGGGCUUGAAAUAUGAGCCGAUAAUGCAAAACGAUUUUCAGAUUUAUGAUUAUAUUAUACGUAAAUGAACGAUGAAUGUACAUAUCUAAUACAUUUACUCGGUGUAGCAUUACUCGAUCCCCUAAAAAUCACGUAACAUCGUGCGUGUGUGUGUGUGUAUUAAUUAGUAUUAAUUAGUAUUAAUUAGUUGUGUUUUUGAAGUUAUUUGUUUGUUAUAUGACCAUAGGUUAUUUUUGUCCACUUGUUUAUAUUAAAUUAGACAUUGGUCUCGAUUUGGAUCGAUGAGUAUACCUUAUGAUUGGAUUCAAGGUCCAAAUUAAUCUAAUUAAAAUAAUUAUAUUAAAUUUUAAUACCUCGAUUUUCGAUCUAGUGAUAAUAUCAUAUUUUUAGCUCUAGUACUAGACAAAAAAAAUCGAUACUUAAAUUAGUAAACUUGCUAAAAUAAAGUCUGAACCAAGUCGAAUAUACUUCUUACCUUGUGGAUAGUGAAUAAGAGAUCAUUUAAAGUUUAUCUUUUAUUAAUCCUAAUUCUUAACUUAAUUAUGAGAUUUGAUAGGUCAUAAUUAAUAUGGCCAAAUCCUAGUCUAUUUUGGCCAAUUAUGUAUUGAUCCGGGGUAAAUUUGGAAAUUAAUAUGGAUUUCCUUUAUCCUAUUCACAUUUUCAUACUUAAAAAAAAAAAGAAUUAUGGCUACCCUAAGGCAAGGUUAAAUUAUAAAAAUCCCCAUAUUUUUUAGUGAUUACAAUUAUCCCCUCAACUUUGUACUGUUUUACGAAAAAAAUUCUUAUUCGAUAGAUAAAUAUGUUACCGUAAGUGUGGACAUACACGACAAUAUAUAGCUGAGGAUAGUUAUUGUAAUUAUUCAAACAAGAUGAUUUUUUUUCUAUAAUUUGACAUUACCUUAGGGGUAGCCAUAAUUUAGCUUAAAAAAAUCAGAACGCAUUUCCAAAAGUUAAUAUUUCUAAAAAUCCAAUUUUAUAGUAUUAAAAAGAGAAGGUAGAUGAUAGAAUUGGGUUUUUUGCCUAAUAAAUUUGGGUUUUGCCUAAUAAAAUACAUUUUAAAAAGUUCGGUCGAAUCAGAUCGAAGCAAUCCUACUACAAUGUCGUCGCUCGCUAUUCUAUUUUACGUUCGGUCCGAUUUUAAAAAUAUUGGUACCUCAAGAAGGAUAGCUAAGAAAGAAAAGAAAUUAAUGCUGAAAAAUCCGGCUAAAAAUUCAACAAGAUAGGUACAACUAGUAAUUGAAUUAAUUAGCUAUAUGACGCAGUUAUGUCAUAACUAAAGACAAAAAAAUUAACUAACAGUUAAACUUUUAUAAAUUAGUACAAUCAGUAUUAACAAAAUUCAGCGAAAUAUUAAAUUAUUCAAAUAAUAAUUUAGUACUUUUUUUUUACCGAGUCAAGAUAUAUCAGAAAAAAAUAUUGUCUAAACAAAACUAUUAAUUUAUCGAGGUUUUACUGUACAAAGUUAUUAGUUUCGGAUUUUUUGUCUAUAUUAUCAAUAAUUUAUUCUUGUCCAAAAAAAAAAACAAUUAUUCAAUUAUCCUGAAUUGACUUUAAAAUUGAAUGACUUAAUUAAAUAGUGAAUGAUACAAAUUAAAGGUUAUGUUUGCAUUUACUGAAAGUUGGUACCACGUAACAGGUGAGACACUGAAUAAGAAGCAAAGAUGACAUACAUAUGUGAUCACAAACACAAACACGUACAUACACAUUACAUACAGUCUUUGAAUUUAAAUUAUUAUUAUUUGAAAACACGCUUUUGUCAAAAACAAAAGUACGACUUUAUUUAUUUGACUAUCUCCUUGCCCAAAGUUAGGCACACGACUCUGACAUUAUAUUGGUUGAUUCCAGAUGAUGAUAAAAAAAUGUUAUAUCCGAUUUUUAUUUUUAAUUUACUGUUUCUAUGUAAGAUUACGAGUUUGUCCCUUUGUUUGUUGCAACAAAUAAAUCAACCCUCCUUUAAAGGCAAGAUUACAAGUUUAAAACAUUUUUUUUUAUAGCAUUUUCCUAACCAGAGGGGCUUUUUUGCUUUUCAAAGUAAAAGAUACGGGGCCAAAUUGCAAUUUCCCUAAUUUGUAGGUUGGUCGUGUUUGGCGGCUGAAAUUGUGUAGCUAUUCACAACAAUGAAAUUCCCACCAAACCUUCCACCUGCUAGAAAUUAAUUCCACUAAUUUGAAUUACAUUUCACAAUAAUUAAUUGGUGGAAAUUGCAUUUUAUUUAAUUAUAUUUUCAUUAUUUUUAUUUUUUUUUAGCUAAAAUUAAAAACCAUAUCCUCACAGGUAUAGAUCACUUAUAUUGUAUUGAUUCUUUAUUUUAUGUUUUACAUCAUUAAAAAAAAUGCAUUAUUUUUUUAGAUAAGCAUUUAGAUAGAAGGAGAUGAUGCAUAUUUUUCAUCCAUAAAAUAUAACACAUGAUCAAUUAUAUAAUGAACAAAAACAAAUUCAAAAAAAUCAUGACUAAAAAACAAUUGUAGUGGACCUUUAUCAUUUCACAAAAUGUUAAAUAUAAAUUCGUCAAUUCGAUUUAAUUUUUGAAGUCAUAGAUAUGCUAGUCACGAACACAAAUUUUUUUUUUUUUUAAAGAACCACCAGCUAACUAUAUAAGUCAUGUGGUGGAUAAAUUUACACUCUCGUAUAAUAGCUUGCAAACUGUACAAGAAACGUAAACCACAUUAGACUGAACAUGUGUGACAAAGUCAACCUAACGACCGUUAGUAUUGGGAUUCGAAAUUCAGUGACUUAAUACAAACUCAUUUGCUACAACCGUUAGAUCAUCCAUUGCGGAAAAUGAAUACAAUUUAUUCAUUUAUUUAUUGCAUUGCAUCACUCCUUUAGAUAAAUAUAUAAUUUUGACAAAAAAAAUGCAGUACGUGCAUAAUAUUUUUUAAAUACAUUUUUUUUUGGAGAAAACUUGUAUAAUAUUUAAGAACGUCUUAAUUAUCUAUUUAGCAAUAUUUUUUUCUUAAGAGGGUUUUGUUAAUUAUGUUAAGUUUGUGUUAGACUAUCGGAACUAGUACACCUAACGCAAUAUAGAUAUAUAGUUGGUGGAAGCUAUAUAUUUAUCCAUAUAUAUAUAUAUUUCCAACCACCAGUUUUGCAACUGGUCAAAAAUUAUCUUUUUCUGUGUUAUUUUUUUAAACUAAUUAAAUUAACUAUUUUAUAUAAUAAACUUGUUUUUUUCUUUUGUAAAAAGAGAUUAAUUAUAAUAAAUUAAACUUGGGUGCGAAAUACAACAACUAUUCCUUUUUUAAAUAAUGAUCUGACUGUCUGUGAUGAAUUAAUAUACCCAUUCACACAUUUCUCGUGGUAUAUGCAAUAAUUCAUGACUAUAUUAUUAAUUAAUUAAAGAUAUUUGAAUAUAUAUUGUGAACUAGAUUUUCUAAAUUGAUUUUUAGAUGUAGUACCCACCUUCGCACCACCAACUACAAUUUUUUUUUUAAUUCAUAAUAAAUUAAAUUUCCUAAUUUUAUAAAAUUACUGACUGGUUUUCAACAGAAAUUUGUUUAUCCCAGCAAAAUGUCGAAUAUAGUGACGGAAUAAAUAUAGGGUCGAGCGAGGCCGUUGUCCUUCCAAUAUUUCUCACCUCAAAGAAUUUCAACGCAUUCUCCCCGAAACAUAAAAUUCUGACUCUGCCAGUGAAAAUAUAUACAAUAAUACAUACAAACAUAACCGAGAAGACAACUAGAUCAAAGUUGAUAAUUAAUAUAUAGGACCAUGGUAGUAAAUGUGCAGGAAUUAUUCCCAUCAGAGCUGUCUGCAAUCUGGAUAAUAUUUUACAUGAUUAAUAUCCAAAAUUAAAUCAACAUUAUUAUUAUUAUUUUUAUUAAUUUAUAAUAAUACCGAGAUUCAGAGGGUAUGUACUAAAAAAAAAAAAAAUUCCGAUCUUGAGUCUUUGAUUGUAUGAUUAUUAUCUUUACCUACAAAAAAUCCCCACCCAACACUACUAUAGUGGCAACAAAAAAAAAUCAAAUAAUAUAUAAUUAAUAAAACGCAAAAUAAUAAUUCUUAAUUAACGUAGAAAACAGUAUUAGCUGGGUCCUGGAAUAGUGUAUUAAUACAUAAAUAUUUUUUGUUAGAGAAAAUCUAAUCACAUGGAUUAUAUAUUAACACGUAUUAAAUAAAAUUAAAACAGAAACUCAGAUAAUUGUAGUAUUCACUAAAUUAGGCAAGACUACUUGUUUCACACCACCAAUUAAUUUUAUUUAUUUUAAUUAUUAAAAAAAAAGAAAAAAAAAAAGUUAGGUCGGUUGGAUGGAAACACGUGAUAUAACGAUGAUGUAAUAAAUGCGUCGUUAUCAAUAUUAUUAUAAUUAUAAUGUUUAGAAAACGUGAAAAAGAGGUUUGUCAAAAGUUUGUGACUAGGCCCAGUGGGCCACGUUUUCAUAUAGGCCUUGAACUGUACCUAUAUUAUGUUGACGUGGCCCAUACAUAAACUUGCUUAUACAUUAUUAGCAAGUUGUGGUUGGUAUUUUGUAGUCCAUGUUUUUGUUCACCACCACAAACAAAUCACUUAUUCUUUUCUUUAUUUUAUUUUAUUUUUCUUCCUUGUGAAAAGUUCGAAUCCAUUUAGGUGGUGUUUGCAAACGCUUUUUGAAAGUGAUUAUGAGCUUUUUUUUGCUCAUGAUCUGUUUUCAGGUGUUUGUAAAAUUAACUUUUGCUUUUACUUCUCUUAAAAUAAUCUGUUUUAAGCUAUUUUUUUAAAAGCACCCCUAACCCUGUUUUUCCUAUUUAAGUUCAUUUUUCGAAAUAUUUGCAAACACCGCCAACUUUUAGGAAUAAACACUUAAAACUGACUUAACUCACAAUCACUAACUUCUGUUUUUAAAUAAUCAUUUGCAAACACCACCUCAGAUGAUGUUUCUGUUUUUUAAUUUUAUUUUAAUCUAUUUUAUUACGACAUUUCGGGUAUUCUACAGAAAUAAACAAAAAAUAAAGUUUAUUUGCAAACGCUAAAAGUUUACGAUUGCUUUAUUAGCUGAUUAAACCAAUGUCUUCGGUUUUUUGGAAACAUCCCAUUUUCUAGAAAUAAGCAAUUAUCUCGAAUUUUGCUCAAACGUCGUAAUUACCAACUUUUGUUCUAACAUAAACUUCAGCAAACGCCACCUAAAACGUCAUUUGGACCUCAUGUAUGCGCAACAUAGUAUGAAUCGAACUCGUGACUUUGAUUUUGAUAGUGCUUGUAGAGCUGGUGGUAGAACCGUUAUUUUGUCGUUUCGAGAACCAAAUGCGCACAAGAAAUUUCUAAUUUGGUGAGAACGCUAUAUAAUACAUUGAUACUCCAUCUGUUUCUUUUUAACUUUCAUUCUUCAACAUUGCACAACGAUUAAAGAUUUUAUUAAAUGUACCUUCAUUUAGAAAAAUGUAUGCUUUUAGACGGAAAAAGUCAGUGAUGUAUAAAUUGAAAAUUAAGUAAUUAAUCCAGAAUUACGAAUUUAAAAUGACAAAAAUAUAUCAUUUUUUUUUUUUCUUCUUAAGAGCGACAAAUAUUAUAAGAGUGGAGGGGUAAUGGCCCCUUGGUCCGAUCUUAUCCAAAUUAAAUGUGAAAUAAAAAGACUUUAUUUGUGUCACAUUUACACAAAACAUUUAAUUAUACAAGUAAAUAAGCUAUUGUACAAUAGAAAAGCAUUAAAAGCUAUAGUGCAUAUUACUUAUAAAAAAAGAAGAAGAAGAGAUCUACUUGUGUGGAGCAGGAGUAUGUGGUCCAAGUAGUUGAGGUGGAGGAGCAGGUACAGGUGGAGGUCCAUAGUAAUGCUGAGGAAGCCUAAGAUUUUCUUUUCUGCCACGCGCCCUCCCGAGAAGGUAACAACCAAUCGCCGUUAUCAAGAAGAAGAGGAUCACUGGUAAAGAUACCACCACCACAUACCCCAUUGCUUCAACACUUGACUAUUCUUCUGUCUGAGCAAACACAACAAAUAAAAAAUAGAAAACUCCCUAAAAUUUAUUUAUUUUUGGAAAAUAAUUUAUGGGCUUUUGGCCCAUAUUAUAUACAUACCAUUCAGCCUUUAUUGGGCUUUUUAAUAUUUUUGUAUACAAAGCCCAAUUUAUGUAAGUUUUCCAAAAAAAACAAAAUUAAAUUGUAAAUGAUAAUCAAGUUAGGAGGAGUUCAUCUAAUUGAAAGAAAAUAAGGAAACGGAAACGAAAUAAGGAAAACAAAAAGUGAACGGAAUAUUCUUUUACCGUUUUAAUGUGACGGAAAUCGGAGCGUACCUUCUCUGACACCGAAAUAGAGCAGUUAGAACCUCGUACUGAAAUUUAUCUCUGGAAACUCCAAUAAAAGGAAGAUUGAAAAAGAAACAUGGGAUGAUUUAUCGUUUUCCUUUAUUUUCUAGAGAGAGAAAGUGAAAUAGAAAAAUUAUUAUGCAGCAGUAAUUCAGCUGUAUGAGUAUUUGUUUUUCUUUUUCCUUUUCCUGCUUUUCCUUAUCUAAUUGCAAGAUAGAGGAAAGUAUGCCCGCAGAUAAAAACAAAAAAACGUAGGAAAAAUCAACUAAAUCAGAUAGACUUCCGAGCCUAAUUUUAUUUUUAUUUUUAUUUUUAUUUUUUCCCUCAAUAAAUAAAUAAAUUAAUAAGUGCCUAACUUUAUCAUUUAUUAGUGUACGUUUUUCUUUUCUUUUCCUUUUCUCCGUAUUUAAUGAAAACAACUCUAUUGUCAAGUUUUAGCCCCUCCUAGGAAAUAAGGGGCUAACAAUGCAAAUAGAGAGAGAGUAUAACCCUGUGUGAAACAAGACUAAAAAAGCAACACCCUACUUGCAAUAAAAAUAUAUUUCCACCUUUUCUUGUCACUGUUUUCUGAAGCUGAUGAUGCUGUGUUAGAUGAUCUAGUACAGUACAGUUUUUGUCCUAUGUAUACACCACAAAGUACAACAACCGAAGAAAAUUUAAGAAAAAAAAAGAGCAGCCAAUAUUUUUAGAUACACAAAGGGGGGAAUGGCAAGAGUCCAUAGUUGCUGAGUGGAAUUUUUUUCGGUACUUAGCAACGCAAACAAAAUAACCAUCAAAGCACCUAUGAACCGAAAACAAGUGUUACAAGCCUUGAGUAGACAAAGCCGAAAUCUUGUUUGCGCCAGCUGGCUUACUCGAUAAUCGGCGCUUGUACCGUUUGAGAACAGAUGCCAAAUUCUCUUUGCCUUUCGGGAACGCCACGUCACCGGCUGCAGUUCCCGUUCUGCCCUUACGGCAAGAUAUAGCAGUUUCGACGUCUUUGAUUGUCUCCAAUAAGAUUAUAGCGGUCGUGAAUUUCCCACGACCCAAUUUUGAAGGUGGUGGCAAACUCCCGUUUGAGAUAGGCGGGCUCGACUUUUGCUGGUAGCCAGCAGGAAGCUCCAGGCAGAAACAGGGCGGCACUAGCGAACGUGGCUUUGAAAAUGCCAAAUCAAUAAUCCCCUACGAGAAUUAAACAAAGAAAUUAACAUAAUGAUGGUAUUACAACAUGUAAUUCAUAUUCAAGGAUAAGUAAGUAAUUACCUGAAGACGAUUAAGUACGUAGGUGUAUUUCCCCCAAAGCUCGGGUCUGCUUUCCACGAGGGAAAGUUCAAGAAUCCUGCGAAUGGACCAGACUCCAAAGCUUAUGAUAAGAUCAACUUGCCAAACACAUCCAUCACCACAAUUAGGAACUGAAAUAAACUUCGAAUGGUCUGCUUCGUCGUUUUUCAUGACAGAACCAAGCUUUCCUUCUGCAGUCAUAUUUUCGGCUUCGUAUAGGAAUCUCUCCCUUGCAGCUACUCGAUCAAUGAGAUCCUCGUCAGCACCGUCGUUCUGUCUGAACAGCCACUCGGAACCUUCUAGCUUCAGAAGUUUAGUUAUGCAGCUUCUGAAAGACUGUAGAAGCUUCGCUUCCAUAUCGAUAAUAGACGCGGUUUCUUGGAUUUUAGGAGGAGAUUUAUCAGCCACGCCAAAUUGUUCGUAUGGCUGCCUAGACCACAAUGAACCGACACCUGGCCUGGAAGCAAAUUGCAACGAAAAAGCAUCGCUGCAGACCUUUGGAUUGUUAAAUUGAUUUAGACCUGGAACAGUAGUACCAGCAUAUGGUGAAGCGUUUGUAUAUGCUGGUCGGUUCAUUGACUGCCCGUAGCUGGUCGAAUAAUCCCAUCGAGUGGUGUUGUCAUAUGAAGAAGAAUCUCUCUGAGGGGCAUAAAGUCCUGAUAUGUCUGGCAAGCUGUAAUACUUCUUCACAUUGGGCGGGUUGUUACUGUAAUCCACUGGCUCGGGAGAGGUGAGAUCAAGAUUAGGUCUUUCGGAUCUCAACGAACUGUUUCGAGAAACGGGAACAUUGUGAAAACCGGGCGGCUUUAGCAUGCGUGAACCGUUUUGUGGGGUUUGCCCUAGUGGUCGGUUAUAUGAAUCUAUUGAGUUUGAUUUUAUUGAGGGUGUUGAGGCUUGCUUUAAUGACUCUAGUUGUUGACUUUUUGGAUAAUCCGAAAUCGUCUCUUUGGACAAUCGACUCAGAUAUGACGCCAUGUCAUAACCAUGAAUAGUGGCUGGCUGUUGGUCAUAACCAUCAGAAGAUGAUGGAAUAUGGACACUGUGAUAGCGCCUCUCGCCGGAAUCGAGGGCAUCUUGGCUGGAAUUCCGCACGUACGCAUCUAAUAAUUGCAUCUGAUUAUUAGACCACAUUGUUGACCCUUGUUGAACACCAAGAGGCGAUCCGAUGUGUUGCUUUGGAGAGUUGUAAAAGGUGGAGUUUCUUAAAAGAUCAGAUCCCCUUCCAACUCCAGCGGUAGAAGGGAAAUAGCCAGAAUCUUUGUUAAUGGUCUCCAAUUUCGAAGGUGCAAAGGAAGAUUUCGAUUCUACCUUAGAAUCAAUCCCCAGCAAAACAUCAAGUUUCUUAGCCCUUGCUUCGUGCGUUGCUUGACCGUGGAAAUCAAACAGCUGCCCCCAAAAUUCAUCGAGAACUCCGGUUAACUGGCGCCUUGCAGCACGUCCUAAUCCUGCUAAUCUUGAAAGACUUGCCGGACCACUUCCUCCAUCGUCGAUUUUUCCCCUGAGGCUUCUGAAAGAUCCUGGACCCUCGGAUAUCAAAGACAGGCUGCUCUCGGAAACAUCCUUAGUCAAUUCAUCAUGUUCCCAAUGUUCUCCUUCGUCGUCUUUCUCACUCUGCACAUCUCCCUCGAUUUUCAGCGUCUUUUUCACCAUUUCUUUUGGUUCAGGGCUAAAGGUUGUGUUGUCGAGAGAUUCAUUCUUGUCAAUCUUGACCGAUUCAGGAAAGAUGGUUCCUGAAAUCAUUGCAGAUCCCUCCAGAUGGUCUAGGGAAGGCUUUGGAAAUGUGAACUCGGAUUUAUUCUCCUCGAUCGUAGUCAAACAUUGACUGACCUCGGAAUCCAAAAGAGUUUCAGGCAAAUUCAGAUCAGUAGGUGAAGAUGAGAAGUUCUGACGGUUCUCAAAGGGAUUUUGAAAUGCUAACGUAGGUUCCUGCUUUUCGAUAGACUUUUCAAAUUGAUGUUCCACUUCCUUAAUUUCAGCCGAAUCCCUCUCUUUACAUGACUCCGUCAUAUCAGCCUUUUUGUCCCACUUCAAUAUCUGUGUAUCUACUCCAGAACUUGCAGACUUCAAUGGAGUGGCUGCCAGCCAAAGCAUCACAGAAGUGGAGGCAAAAACAGCAACUAGAAGAAUGUAAUACGAAAUAGGCACGUUACUCCCAAUAUUCCAGCUCAAACUAAUAACCCAGUCACUACUGCCAAAUACAAGUUCGAUCGCAAAUACAACCUGUAGCCCCAGCAUUCCAACGAAGGUGACUAAAGCUAAGAACUCCACCAGACGAGAAAUUUUAUAGGCACCCAUAAUCGAUCGGGAGGAAGCAACUCGAAACAAGGGGAUAACAGAAGAUGGCAGUAGAAGAGCAACAACGACCUGCGUAAAGAUCAGAAGCUGAAAUAUGCCUUCAGCUCCUGAAUUCCAGAUGCAAAUGAGGGCUGAAAAGAUGGCAAUUAUUCUGAUCGAAGCACAAUGAAGCCAACCCGGAAUCUCCAAUCUCAACAAAUCAUGUGCAUUCAUUUGUCCUCCAAGACUCCAUGUUACUGCUACAUGUUGAUUGGAGAAGAACAUAAUGAUUAUUAAAGCAAUCGAAACCAACGAACUCUUCAAUCCCUGCAUCACCAUCCAGAGAAUUUAACCAUAACCCAGAGACAUCAGAAAGCUGCAUAACAUUAACACAUAAAUUAUCAUAUUCUUGGCAUAUUCAACACCAACCUGAUCCAACAAUGACAAUGCAUCCUGUAAAGUAAGCGAAAUGAGUCCACUGCUAUAGAACACAUUUGCUGCCAAAUUAAUUAGCAUACAAUUCACCAGGAAAAUGCCACUAAAGAUGCAUAAAGUGGCCAAAAAAUGGUCAUGGCACAAUGCCCCUUUAGGAACAUUAGUUUGCCUCUUAUCUUGCUGCAAAAAAAAAAAAUGAAGGGUUAAUCAGCUUAGGCUCAUAGAAUUAGGGAAAUGUAAGCAUAGAUUGUAAUAAAAGGUGAUUGAGCUAGUGCAAGAGAGAAAGCAGACCUGUACAAUAGAAGAAUGGAGGUAAAAGUUGUGUGGCAUAAUAUUGGCUCCAAGGACACUCAUCAAUGCAUAGGCAUUUUCCCCAGUUAGCUUACUAAGCAUCCCACCCAUGGACAGCGAGCUUUCUGGUUGACUUAUUAGAACUCCCGAAACAUAAGAUGCUAAUACAAAGCAUGCCACGCAUAUGGAUAGGAUAUUUGCUUGGGGAUUUCCCUGAAAACAGCAAUUGCAUUAUAAACUACAAUCUGCACCCUAUCUAAGAAACAGAAAGCAACAGAAUGAAGCAGAUAACUUACAAAGAGGCUAGCGAGCAAUGGAAACAGAACAGCAUCAAAGACGGUCAGAAAAACACAAUUAAGUAGGUCGAUUCCAAAGGCAGCAUUAAGACCAAAAGCGAUACCAAGAACCUGCCAAAACAAUCAUUUCUAUAAUUAGGAAAAACAGAGUAUGUUAGAAGAAACAACUGACUUAAAUAGUUUCCGAAGACUAAAUUACCAUUGUGAGAUCCAACACAAUCAUGGAGAUUUCUGCCUGAAUUCCUAUGGCUAUGCAUGUCGCAUCAUCAUAUUCUUCGCUGCAAAUCUAUGACAUCAUUAAGAAAAAUGAGUUCAUGUUUUUUGGAGUUUAUAUUAAAGCAUGAAAAAGGGUCUGAAAACGGAUAGCUAUGUACAAGUUUGAUGUAAUAUAAAAGUAAAUGAAGUAGAAGGAAGUAUGGGAGGAGAAGAGUGAGACGAUUCCUCUAUCGGUUAUGUGACACUUAUCAUAGGUCACAUUCACCAAUGACAACAGAGUGAUUGCACACCCUAAGUUAAAUGACUAUGUUGUAAUCAGCCAAUACAUAAAAUUAGCCAGGGUUAUUACAACAACUGAUUAUGAUCUGUAGCAAUUCAAGUUUCAGCUCUCUAACGGAAUUUCGAUUGAGUUCCAACAGGCCAAAAUCUAAUUGAAAACAAAAGGCUAAUGCAUCUCAUAAAAAAUAAAACAUUGAAGGAAAAUAACAACCUGAGCAAGAUUCUUUCCAGUGGCAAUGGCUACACGGGCAGAAAGGUACUGGCACAAAAUAGCAGCGCAGUUUAUGAUAAGCAAAAGCAAUGACAAAUCAAAACCAAAACGAGCACCCCCCUCUACAGCUACUGCCCACUUUCCAGGGUCUAUAUAGCUGGUAGCAAUCCAAAGUACCGGUCCCACAGCAGCAAGCAUCCGCUCUCUAGUCAUUUGCUGAUAAUCAGUAAUCAAUGUCUCAGAUUCCAUUUUAUUUUUAUUUUCAAAAAUAAAGCAGUGUUAUCCACUGGUAUUUUUUGGUUUCAAGCAGCUUCAAAAUGUGCCGAAUACGUCCAAUUACAUUAUGCCUCACGAUUCCACCUUAAGAAGGACCUGGGAUGCAAUUAAUCAGGAAUCUUUUUGCAAAUUCGAGGAAACCGAGCAAUAUAACUUCAUCAAUGUAGAAGCAAACCAAUCCAAGGCAUAGCUUGUCUACUCAUUCUUCCCAAUGCACUGUUCUUUGGUUAUUAAUAGUUGACAAAGCAGGAGUUUAAAACUAAAAAUAUUCCAGACCAAAACCAUCUUCAUUCCAAUGCUUAAUCGAGUUCAUAUUCAAACAGUUGAACUGUACCAGCAAACAUUCCUCAUAGACAAGAAAACAGCUUCUGACUUCUGAUUCAGUUGAACUUUCGCACCUAGUAAUACAUAAAUAAAUCAAAGUGAACGUUUAUCUCAAACUAACGUAUGCGCUCCAAUAAGGUACAGAGUUCUGAAAACAGGUGUAGCUGCGCUUUGGCACUUCGCGAAUCCUGAUACGAGUGAAAAACUGCAUAGUUAAAUAUGAUAUCCAGAAUACAAACAACAUCUACAUUUUGAAGCAUCUUAACAUGUUCAAGUGAUACAAACGACAACAGUGUAAUGGCUCUAUCAGUCUCCAAUAUUCAUCUCUCCAUGUUGUUUAAUCAAUAAGCAAAUAAGUUGAUUCAUAGAUUCAGGGUGCUCUAAAAUUUUGUCAAGAGUUACAUAUGCUAAAAGAAUUUCACCCAGUCUAAUAAGUCUAUAAGGCAACCUAACAAAUGAAUUAGAAAGCCCAUUUAGAUAUAUCAGGAACCCUGCAAAUUCAAUAAAUUCGCAAUGAAUAAAACUCUUAAUCGUAAGUAAUAGGAACAAAUAUAAGAUGUAAUACAAAUCCCAAGGAAUAAACAAACCACCAAAAACUCCAGAGUGUUUACGAGUGAUUCAGUAUGUCGAAAAAGCAAAAUCCAAACUAAAAGCAGAAACAGAAACCGAUCUCCAUAACCAUUUAUUCAGAUAUUUGAAGUCACUCUGCUAAUUGGGAAAGAAACAAAAAUGGAAAUCAACAACUUAAUUAAUGACAACCCCCAUACAAAGAGGAAAGUCAACAAAUGGCAAAAAAGAACAACACAUGUCACUCGUAAUAGAUCUUCAAGUCACGAACAAUACCAACACAAAACCAUGUAAGCAACUCAGAAUCCCCCAAAAAAAGAAAAAAACCUAAUUCUUGCUCUCAAUCGGAAAACCUAAAGCCGGAGCUGAAAUCUUCCAUCCAAUUAAAAAAAAUAAAAAAAUCAUGCAGGAUAAUACACCACAUCCAUCAAUGGAUCUGAAGCUGAUUAGCCACCGAUAUGAAGAAAAAAAAAAACUAAUUCGCGAAUCCGUACACACACACAAAUAUAAAACAGUAAGCACACGCAUUAUUACACACAAUCAACACAGUAUUUAGCAAAUAGAUUGGAGCACAUAUUGUUAGGGUUUGGGUUU